rnacentral:rRNA from 1 species
GACAAAGACUGACGCUCAGGUGCGAAAGCGUGGGGAGCAAACAGGAUUAGAUACCCUGGUAGUCCACGCCGUAAACGAUGUCUACUUGGAGGUUGUGCCCUUGAGGCGUGGCUUCCGGAGCUAACGCGUUAAGUAGACCGCCUGGGGAGUACGGCCGCAAGGUUAAAACUCAAAUGAAUUGACGGGGGCCCGCACAAGCGGUGGAGCAUGUGGUUUAAUUCGAUGCAACGCGAAGAACCUUACCUGGUCUUGACAUCCACAGAAGAAUCCAGAGAUGGAUUUGUGCCUUCGGGAACUGUGAGACAGGUGCUGCAUGGCUGUCGUCAGCUCGUGUUGUGAAAUGUUGGGUUAAGUCCCGCAACGAGCGCAAC